rnacentral:lncRNA from 1 species
AUCUACAGAGUGAUAUAUUGUACCGUGUUAAUUCUGUACAACGGUGAACGUCUAAUUCACACGUUUUUUUAGGGUUGUUGGCCUCAAGGUUAGAUGUGAUUCAUACAUUAAAUUUUUUGUGUGAGCCGGUGGUGGAUUUGAUAUGAGGUUCUCCCAGACUACAACCUAGUUCAUUCUUGUGUUUAGAGCUAUAAAAAUAUAUGUAUUUUGCGUACGUAAGUGGAUAAUGGGUUGAUUUAGUGGGUUUUCACGAGUCUGACUCAGAGUAUGUUUCGAUUUACAUGACCUCAAACUAACCAUAAAGAUCAUCAAAUAUGCCAGUGUCCUGAUCCAUUUUGGAUCAUCCAAUAGGUUCUCCCAGACUACCGUUUUCAAAUUUAACGCGGUACAUUUCAGUUUAUUUGACCCACAAUAAGGUAGAGAAAAGCACACAUCACUCAAUUUACAACCAUCGUGGCAUGGUCCAGUGACCUGAUCCAUCCUCAAUUUGUUACGAGGCGAAAAGAGUUGGAGAUAGGUUGCGUUACC